UUUUUUUUUUUUUUUUUUUUUUUUUUUUAACCACACCAUUGUUUUAUCCGCUGCGUCUCUCACAACCUAAAAUAUCUCUUCCUCCUCACCGGCACGUCAGGCUUGCAAAUGACUGCGGGCUGUUGCCUAAUCUUUGCCCUAUUCCUCAUCCGAUGUCGAGACGGGUGCUUAGCUAAGCUAUGCACAUCUCUCGCUUCAGCAUCGCCCCGUCAAUCAGCCUCCCCAGCUCCAGCCGCUGCCGGGGCUGUUUUCUGAAUUCCUGACACUCGUCACCCUGUCGCAGUGCCAGGAAGGGCACACGGACCUGCCGGGUGGCACCAGCAGAGAAGGACCUGCAGCCGGGCACACACAGCCCAGCCCAUCACCCCGCAGGUUUGCUGCUCCAUCCUUGCUGCUCAUCCUUCACUCAGGAUCUUCCACGCAAAUUUAUCCAUGUUUUUUCCAACCUCCCCAUCUCAUCAAUAAGAAGGUUGGUUUUUUAGCCAUGUUGUUCGGUUUAUGAAUUUCCAAAGCAAGCCUUGAUCUCCUCUGCUGCUCGUUUCUCCCGGUUCCUCCCAGUUCCACAGCGACUGCAGCUCUGACUACACAAAAUUUAGCUCUGAGAUAAUUUAUGAAAAUACCACAUUUGGCCAGAUUUACCAUCUGUAACCCAAGAGACACGUCCUGCAACACAGCCCCACAUCCAUCCCCCUGUAGUUAUGACUGUCAUUGCUGGUGGUAAUUGUACAAGUAGGCAAGCAGAGUUUGCUCCAAACUUAGUCUCCACACAGUUUGGAGACUUUUGGGUCUCCUACAUCUCAUUCUCUGGGGAUUUUUUGGCUGUGACAAACCUUGAGCUGGCUUUCAAUUUAUGGCAACUGCUGUAUUUGUGUCACUUUGAACCUCCUUCAUGAGUAAACCACUCGGACAAACCAGAAUUCUUGAGGUCUGCAGUCCAUGACGGAUUUAAAUGCAGAUUAAAAAUUCCGUAGCAGAAAUAUUACAAGAGACUCAAGAUCCUAAUUGUUUCCUGUGUAAGGCAGGAGCUUAAUUUUUAUUUUUAAACUCUCAAGUGCUGACAGCCAAUAUUUUGGUGUGAAAAAGCUGAAGAUGCAACUGCUGCCUCACUGUGAGCAGGUAGCAACUUCCAGAGUUUAUUCUUACACCUUAAUUUGUUCUUAAUAUUCAGAUCGUGGCAGCAGCCAGGAGGCAUUAUCAAGCUAAGUGCUCCUUUGUGUCAAUUCACAGCGGUAGAAAAAUUCCCCGCCCAAAUGAGCCGUGAUUGUUGUAUCGUCUGGAAGAAAGCCACCCUCUCUAGUGCUGCACUAAUGCACUUCUAGCGACAGAACUGAUUAGGAUUCCUGCUUUGGAUUUGCUCAGAUCUAGCCUGGUUGGGUUUUUAAUCUUUGGGAUAAGCUGUGGAUAGAGAAUUAGCCAUUUAGAUAUAAGUGCAUCGCUGGGAAAUGCUUCGCUGCACCCGGCGUAAAAUGACUUCAGAGUCAGAUCUGGCAAGUGCUGUUUGAUAAUAAAGUGAUAACCUGGGCUGUGGGGGCAGAGGGGGAUUUUUUGCUUUCAAGAAGCACCAGACAUCUUUGUCUGAUUCUGUCUCUACUAGCACAGAAAUUAGAAGAGUGCUGAGGAAUGUGUGCUAAGAGUGAAAAUAAGCACCCAUCACUCAUCUCAGAUUUGAAAAGAUGCUUGAUAGAUGAACCACAGAGUCAUCACUGAUAAGGGAGGCACAGGGGGCAUUGCUUGGGCUGUUUGAGCCCAUGGCUAACUGGUGCUGUAUUUUGAUACAGCUGCCCAGUGAAGUCUGGCAAGAUACGUGUCCUUCCCAUCUUGGUGAGGCUGAGAAGCAGCACUGCAUGUGUGAGAGACACCAGGGUCAGGUUUAAUCAACGGUGAGCUUCUGCCCCUCUGAAUCCCCAGUGUCUGGCAAGGAGCAGUGCUCCCCAUCACACUCUUCUCUUGCAAAUAGCAAGAAAGUCAGGUAUUCUUGCAGAAGGCUCCUUUCUCCAAAGCCAUUAUUUUUCCUCCAAAAGUCCUUCCCCUAAAAAGUCCUAUUAACCUCCCUCUGGUUGUCCAUCGCAUAAUGCCAAGGCCUCAUGAAGCAGAGAAGGACUCAGGAGUGACACAACACCACAAUGGACCCUGCCACAGCACCCAAGCACCAGGAACUGCUGGGACCCCUCUCCCACAUGCUUAUCACCCCACUUUCUCUAGGGCUUGCCUUGAAUUUGGCAGCUGUAUAGACACAGACAUGCAGACUGCAGCCUAAAGAUCUCAGAUCCAGAAGCACUGGCCAAACUCAGCCUGAAAUCGAUGUCCUUUCUGAUUCUCAUGGAUGUCAGAAAGAUUUAUCCAGAGAGAUCUUAUUUUACAGCCUGUGUCUUCUGGUGUGUUUGUUCUUUCAGCACUCUGGGUUCAGAAGCUGCUGCCUCCUCCCCAAACCCUCUGUGCUGGAGGGAUAUAAAUUAUAGCAGCCUGCAAUGCAUUCAGCUAUGGUCCUGUCCAUCAUCUGUGCGUGGCAUUAACCCUCUGAAACUUGGUCACCCAGAUCUGCAUUUCCCAGGCUUUGAAUCCUUCUCCAUUGCUAAAGCCGCUCAGACAGCCAAAGAAUGAGGCGCGCACGGCAGCCGGCAUUUCUAAAGAAAACUUGAUGGCUUUCUGACACCCGACACAUGCAAUUCCCAACAGAGUUAAUUGAAGCUAAUUCCUCAAAGGCUGAGAUGAGAAUAUCCCCAUAAAUUAUGUUCCUGCUUCAUUCCAGACAAGGACAGCAUGAAUGCAUUACACGCAAUCCCCCAAUUUACAGCAUUAAAACCAGCAAGUCAAUCAAGGAGACUGAAUAUAGUCACUUGAAAGCUGAAAUUCAUUUUCAUCCUCUCUCCAUCUGUACUGUAACCUGAAAGGUUGAUUUUUUGAGGGCAUAUUUCCACGCACAGCCUGACCCAUUCCGUGAGAGAGAAGCCUUCUCCAUGGAUGUGACAUGUGGUGGGUACACCCCAGCCCCUGCUUGGGGGAUUUUGCUGAGGUGCAGGUUGUCAAAGCUGUUAUUGAGGCAACUUUCAAGGUGUCUCCAGAGACCUUUAGGUUUCCAAGACAGAGAGAAAAGCACCACAGGACUUAGGGCAUCAUGUCCCUGCUGUUGUCUCAGAAAGCCAGGGCUGGUUAUCAUGGAGGGCACACACAGAUUGCUACUGCCAAUCUGCUCUCAUUAAAAGAGAGUUAUUUUUAAAUCACGAGGUUUUUUGGGACACAGUCCUAACGAUGAGUUAUUUUUAAAUGAUACUUUAAAAAUAUAGGCACAUUUUGUGUGCCAUUCAUGUCACUUUUAGGGUCUAAAAUAUCACUGAAUUCUACUAUAGAGAUUAUGCAAAUUAAAGCCAGAUUCAGUGAAAGAGUGCCCAGCUUCUUUGCUGCUCAAAAUCAGAAGGACUGAAAAUACAUUUCUGGGCAUUUUUACUGCCUUGAAGAAGCUCUAGAGAUGUAAAAGUAGAAAAUUACUUGAUAUGUGGCCUAUAUGCAUUUGGUUAUCUGUUGGAAGAGGCAACAGUGUUUCAUGCUGGAUACUGGGAAAAUAAAUACCCAGGUGAAGCCCAGAACAAACAGAAACCCUGUGACAGAACCAGAAUCUCGAGUCCUACCAUGGCUUAACCCCAAAGUCAUGCUAUAAACUGGAACAGACUAAAGAACAAGACUUCAGCCUCAUAUAUCGUGUUAUAAAUGAGCCAUAGGGCAACCCUACUACGUACUUUUUCUUUUCUAAUGCAUUUUAGACAUGCAGUAUUUGGCAAUUAAAGUUUGCACCAAGUUCAAGCCCAGCUGUGGUGAUCCUGCAGUAAUUCUCACUGGAAUCUAUAGACUUCAAGGGCCCAGGAAGAUCUUAACAACUGCCUUGUCUGACCUUCUGCACAAGAUGUAUCACAGUUCCUGCCUCAAGUCCGUAACUCCUGACUGAGCUACGACCCAUCCCCAGGGAAAUAUGCACACUCAACAUAAAGGCUUAGAAGAUGGAAAAUCCAACUUGUCCUUGAAUUGCUGCUCCAAGGUGAGCUGCCUUCCUUGUUCCAAGUCCUCCAGCUCUAAUUGACUCUCAUUUCCAUUGUAACCUUUCCUGCUAACAUGCAGCACCACCUCCCAUUAGAAAUUUCUUCCACACACAGGUACUCCAAGACCACAAUAAGUCGUGUCCUAACCUCCUGGAUCAGCUAAACCAGUGGGGGCUAUUCCACAAUAAUAUAUUUACUCCUGGCUGCACAUGCAGGGAUGUUGCUGCCCUGUAAUGAGUAGCAGUUACCACAGGUCAGCUGAGGUUCAGGAAUUGUCCACACAAAUGCCCUUCGCCCAGAGCUAACACAGGAUUAUCUCUAAAACACAGCUCAGGAACGCGAUAAACUCAUUUGUAUUCUUUUCCUUUCAUCUAAUUGCUUUGGAGAGAAUAAUUCAUGAAUGAGACGCCCAACCCAACCUGAGAAGUGUUAAAUGCAUUGAGACAGUAUCCCUAUUUCAUUUAAAUAAAGUAAUAUUUGCCCAUAAGAAAGCACAGUGCUGAUUUAAACACAGUUUUUAAUGAUUAAAUGGUAAAAAUUAUGGUACCAGAUUGAAAAUACAGAAAAGCACUCACUUUAGGGAAAUACAUUUUCAUUUCUAUAAACGAAAGGCUGGGAAAAUAUUCUUCAUCAAUGAUACAUGAGCAAUAUAAUGUUCUGUUCCUCUAUUCUACCCGAGAGAUCAUGUUAAUCCUUUUGAUUUAUGCACAGCUCUUUAACUAAUACUGUAACAAAUGGUAUUGACAAUUAAAGUAGCUUCUGCAAGAAAUUCAUUGUAUUUGCAGCACCCACAGUAAGAAAUGCCUUCACGGUUCUGACAGGAGAUCUAAAUAAAAUUAAAGAGCUAAGAACAAAGGCUGCAGAAAAAUCAGAAAGGCAUAGCUGAUAAGGGAAUGUGACUUGCUUAUAGGGGGGAUUUUUGUAUUUAUCUAAGUCAGUAUAUUACACAUAAAAAAAAAUGAGGGUUUGUAUUCUUCAGUUUAAACACAUAAAUCUUCAAUUCUUUGCUUCCCAAUGCAGAGCUGCCUGAAAUAUUGACCAUCAUACAGAACUGGCUUUGAAAAGGCUGGCAAAGACCCGAAGAAAUUUAAUCUUAUUAAAAUACAGAGCAUUUUAAAGAUAUUAUCCCCAGUGGCUUACUGAUGGCUCAAUUGCUGCUACAAUCUGUG
rnacentral:lncRNA from 1 species